AUAAAGUUCCUUUGGGUAAGAAGUACUACUUGUCAUCAAAAUGAAUAAAAGGAGAUGUAUCUAGACGUAUUUUAGUUCUAGAUACGUCCCUUUUUAUCCAUUUUGAUGACAAGUAUUUUCGGACGGAGGGAGCUUAUA
rnacentral:pre_miRNA from 1 species